rnacentral:lncRNA from 1 species
GCCAGGGAUAGGAAGCAACCAUACUCUCCCCAUGGGUUAUCCCUCAGGGGACUGUACAGCUGUCACACCUCUGCAAAGCUGAUUCCAGUAACUCUUUGGAACUAGGUCCAUCUUCUUAUUCCAGGUUGGACAAACAUACUACUGAAAAUCAUAUUUACCUUAGUUCCAGCUUAAAGAGGCGCUACCAGUCCAAAAGAAAUGGAACCACCAGUGGUGUAAAAUGCAAUAUCUGCCAUACCUCACUCAUUAACAACUAAAGGAAAG